UACGUAGGGGGCGAGCGUUGUCCGGAUUUAUUGGGCGUAAAGAGCGUGUAGGCGGCCAGGUAGGUCUGCUGUGAAAACUCGAGGCUCAACCUCGAGACGUCGGCGGAAACCAUCUGGUUAGAGUCCGGAAGAGGAGAGUGGAAUUCCUGGUGUAGCGGUGGAAUGCGUAGAGAUCCGGAAGAACACCGGUGGCGAAGGCGGCCUGCUGGGCAGUGGCUGACACUGAGGCGCGACAGCGUGGGGAGCAAACAGG
rnacentral:rRNA from 1 species